rnacentral:rRNA from 1 species
CCUAGGGCGGCAGCAGUGGGGAAUAUUGGACAAUGGGCGAAAGCCUGAUCCAGCCAUGCCGCGUGUGUGAAGAAGGCCUUCGGGUUGUAAAGCACUUUCAGUGGGGAAGAAAGCCUUGGGGCUAAUACCCUCGAGGAAGGACAUCACCCACAGAAGAAGCACCGGCUAACUCCGUGCCAGCAGCCGCGGUAAUACGGAGGGUGCGAGCGUUAAUCGGAAUUACUGGGCGUAAAGCGCGCGUAGGCGGUCUGAUAAGCCGGUUGUGAAAGCCCCGGGCUCAACCUGGGAACGGCAUCCGGAACUGUCAGGCUAGAGUGCAGGAGAGGAAGGUAGAAUUCCCGGUGUAGCAGUGAAAUGCGUAGAGAUCGGGAGGAAUACCAGUGGCGAAGGCGGCCUUCUGGACUGACACUGACGCUGAGGUGCGAAAGCGUGGGUAGCAAACAGGAUUAGAUACCCUUGUAGUC